UACAGAGGGGGCAAGCGUUGUUCGGAAUUACUGGGCGUAAAGGGCGCGUAGGCGGCCUGUUAAGUCGAACGUGAAAUCCCCGGGCUCAACCCGGGAACUGCGUCCGAUACUGGCAGGCUUGAGUUCGGGAGAGGGAUGUGGAAUUCCAGGUGUAGCGGUGAAAUGCGUAGAUAUCUGGAGGAACACCGGUGGCGAAGGCGGCAUCCUGGACCGAUAUUGACGCUGAUGCGCGAAAGCCUGGGGAGCAAACGGG
rnacentral:rRNA from 1 species